CCAGCUGUGCUGUGAUUCUGCUAUUUGAUGAAGAAAAGCUUGUGUGCAUCAAAGGGAGACCUGAGACUGAAAUUUGGCCGACCUUCCUCUCCUCUCAGGUCCAACGUGACGCGCCUAUCCAGGUAUCACAGACCAAUGCCAAGAUGCAGAGAACACUGCUCUGUGUGCCAUUGUUGCUUUUCUCCUGCAGCGUUGGAUGACAUCUGGAGAGUCAGUUUUCCGGAGAAGGCAGACUGAAGAGUACGAAAUCGCCCUCCGUGCCCCCAGCUGCUUGGCAUGCCCCUGCCCUCUGUGACAUCCCAGCUGCUUCUGACUGCCAUGGUGGGCACCUGCAUGGAGACCACGGAGCUGCAGAAAAAGGAAGCCAAGGUGGAAGAGAAGAUUGCAGUGCUGGAGGAGAAGAGAGUGAAGCUGCGGGAUGAGACCAGGGCUGGCCAGGAGGAGGACUUCUGCCGCGGUCUCCCCAUGUGGUCUCCUGUGGUGUCACGGGGUUAUCUCCAGAUCUAUCUGUGUCUCUGAUGGGGACAGCAGGCCUAUGGGCCCACCAGCCUAAAAAGGGGAGGGGAGGGGGGAGUGUCAAUGUUUUACAGGCUGGUUCGGCCCAGUUCUAUGACUAAUGGGGCAUGGGGAGCCAUGGACCCACGCCCUGGGAAAGGGGAAAAGGGAAAGUAUAGGGAGAUGAGAAAUGGGCCUAAAAAAACAGAACAGCAGCAACGAUCUGAGGAGGAAAGUUAAUUUACUAAUGCAAGAUAGCACAACAUAAUGCAAUGUAUAAUUGGAACUGUGGCUAAUAAAUCAAAUAAAAUGAGAGAGAGAGUGUCAGAAACUGAAGGCCUUACUCUGAACUGAAGGUGAAAUGGCUGGGGAGCACAACCACACACUGCAGGGCAGCAACAGAGGGAGUGAGUCCCAUGACUUGUGGGUCUGAUCUUCUCCUUUGAACACAAAGUCCUCUGGGGCAUGCAGUUCUCUUCUGAGAGCCUGGAAUCCGGAAAGUUGGCGGCUCGGUGACUCCACCACCUCUCUGGGCAGCCCAUUGCAGUGCCUGACCACCGCAGGCGGUGUCCACCUCCACCUGCAAAACAGAGGGAGUGGGAGCUGCUGGAGGUGGAAAGCAACACGACCACAUCACGCUGUGCCUCGGUGCACCCACUUAUGAGCAACUCCCAGUGCAGCCACGACACUUCCCAGAGCCCUGCUGGAUGGCUCUGCUCCCCGGUGAGCUGCACCCUCCCCUCCAUCCACUCAUGAGGAUGGAAGACAGAGCUGAGCCCACACACAGCCCAGCUACCCCGGGGAACAGCCAUCCUCACCGCUUUCCCUACACACAACGAGAGCCAGACAAACCCACAAACCACCUUUUCCUGGCUUGGAGCUGGAAGGAGAGCAUUCCCAAGGCGCAGAGCAAGCACCACUCAGCAGGGGAGCAGCUGAGCCCCACCACGGCCACCUCACUCAGCAGAGCGCCGAUCCCUGCAGUGCCCCCAGGGCUGCCAAAACAGUGGCCGAAACGCAACAAACACCAACGGUGCGCAGCACAGUCAGCAAACACUCCUCUCUUAUUUUCUCCCUGCUUUUGGUUUGCGCUUUUAGAUGUAUUUUUUUUUUCUCCCCCCCCCUUCUCCCACAAGGAAGCUGCCGCCGUCGGAAGGGAACAGCGGCAUCAUUCCUCAGCGCAUGAAAGCCACGCUGUCCCAGCAGGAGCCGCACUGUGCAGCCCCAACGAGGCCGGCCAAGCCGAGCUCCUCCUCCGGAGCAGCCACAGCACUUUGCUGCGUUGUGCUGAGCUCAGGGCUGGGGGGUUCCUGCACCCUCCCGGCUCUGUUGGUUUGCACAUCAGCCUCAAAGCAGUAGGGGGGCUUUGGGUGUCCUUCUGCACAGGGCAGUGAAUGCGGAUGGUGAUGCACAGCGGGGCAGCGCUGCAGCCCAAAUCCCACGGACACAAUAAUGAGGGAGGUCAGCAAGCGCAGCACGGGGGGGAAAGGGUUUUCCAAAUGGGAUCAGCACUGCUGUGGCACGGGAUGCACACGAGAGCUGCUCUCCGGGAGCAGAACGUCUCACCCGACCUCCUCACCAGGCUCUGCACAGCACCAAUCCAAGCCCAGCAGAACCAUCUGCCAUCUCUUCAGGCUCGCAGACCCCUGCAAGCUUCCUAGCGCAGGUGCAGGCUGACGGGGGGGGGGGGGGUCAGAAACCCAGCAAUACACCCGCGCUCCUCCCUGCCGUUUACCCGCCCCAGAGCGGUGUGCAGCUGUGGGAUUUCAGCCCUGCAGCCCCGGGGGGGAUCUCGUGCUGCCCGUGCCCACGGACUGCACGUGGCAGCUCCCCCGGGGGCUCCCGCAAACGCUCCUGCGUGCAGAUCGGGUCUGAAACGCUUAACGCUCAGCCCAGACCCCGUCCUCUCCUUGCACACGCGUGUGUAAGUAAUAUGCGUGUAUAUCAUGCAUAUUUCCCGUAGUCCUCUCUCACGCCCUUUUCCUGGCUUUGGAUUACUGUAAGGGUCAUCGAUCUGUCGGACCGCUCACGCGGGCAAUUAAAGCAGUAAAUAAGGAAGGGGAGGGAGCGGGGCUGGAGGAAGCACAGCCGGUGUUGCUCGGGGGUUACACUUACAGCCUUCCGCACGGCGCUGCCCGUCCAUCACGGGGACAGCCCCGAACAUCUCGAAUUCAUCCCCAAAGCACAGUUUAGCAUCCGGAGCUCCACGGCGUCCUUAAGCAGACAGCGGUUGGCGGCGCAGGAGCAAAGCUCGGAUCGCAUCCUUUUUUUCUUUUUUUACACAGAAUUCGUGAACAAUUAACACAGCUUUCCUGGGUUUGGAGAAUUUGUCCUUUCUCCCCCCCCCAACAUUGAGUUCUUCACCCGAAAUCCGAAGGAAAACGAACGGAGCGCCCCACGCGGAACUGCGACCGCCUUCUGUCUCUGCUGCCCCCACGUGGCCAAAGCGCGGAACUGCAGCGGGGGACGUUCCGUCUCCGCUCCGCGCCGCCCGUCUCUAUGGUUAAAGGUCAUCCAGGCGCCAACGCGCAUGCGUGCGCAAUCCGGAAGCGGCCGCUCUGCGCAGCCAGCCCUCCAAUCUCUCUUGUGCUCAGUCCUCCAGGCAGUGGCUCCCGAGCGCUCGGAGGCGUAAAAAGGGCAGAAAAUUCUGCGUAGCGCUCCAGGGGUGGCCGAGCACUCCGCCCACGGACCGUCGGUCCGUCUUUUCCCUCUCGCUUUCCGCCACGCGUUCUCCUUCCUUUGCUCCGCUGCUCCCAUUGCCUUCCUGUGCGCUGCGCUCCGUUCACGAGCACCGAAUCCAAAGCGCCAUCCUUUAACGUAACCGCAGUCGUAACCCUAAAAGGAACGUUAAUCGUAAUCCCGAUGGCCCCGAAAUGUCACAGCUCCGACCCCCAAAGACCCUUAAAAACGACCCCCGUAUCGUAUUGCGUUCAACAGGUGGCAGCAAACUCCACCCCAAGAGCCCCCGCCCC
ensembl:lncRNA